rnacentral:lncRNA from 1 species
CCGUGCAAUCACGCGAUCAUGGGCCAUUACAAUGCAUUAGUCACCCCCCACUCCUUAGAAUACUCCAUAGAUGGAGAAUAGGGUCAAGGAAAAGGCAAUAGGUGAAAAGAAAAAAAAAAGAGAGAGAAAAAGAGAGCAUGAAAGAGAACCCAUCAAGCAUACAUAGAUAGGUGCAUGGAUUCUCAUCCAUUGCACCAUUCUCUGUCUUCAUUAAUGCGCCCAUCAACCCCAACCAUAUCACCACCAACAUUGCUUA